rfam:Dipodomys ordii contig_6912, whole genome shotgun sequence.
GUUUCUUUGGCAGUGUCUUAGCUGGUUGUUGUGAGUAUCAAUGAAGGAAGCAAUCAGCAAGUAUACUGCUCUAGAAGU